ACUGUAUCAUAUGAAAACUGAAUGUAAAAACUUAAUGUCUCCUUCCUUCCUCAUUCAACAGUCUAGUUAUUCCUUCAUCUCUGGGCCACCUCUUACUCUCUGCUCUCCUUCUCUCUGUUAGACGUGGAAAGGGCCAUUCGUACAGUGGUGCACACCUUUGAGAGAACUGCCGGGAGGGAUUGCCUUAUUGGAAGGGCCGAAUUCCGUAACCUGAUUCAGAAUGAUCUUGGACACUGCCUGACUGAUACAGAGAAAAAGAAAGAAGUGGACAAAUUCAGGCGCAAGGUGGAUAGUAACAGAGACGGGAAGAUCGACUACGGCGAGUACCUGGAGCUAAUUCACGUGAUAGCCUCAGCAGUGAGCAGACACAGGUGUAACCAGUAGACUCCUCAACUUCAGGCCUCAAACCGUUAAAAAGGAUGCAAUUGACAUGUGUUGACGUGACAUGAUGUCUGUAAAAACAGCUAGAAAAUACAUUAAAAGUAUCAAUAAUAAGUCAAUAAA